rnacentral:lncRNA from 1 species
CUCUAGUAUGUUACGUCUAGUCUAUGAGACCAGGAUGGAUGGAGGUGCUGAGCUGACAGGCCAUUGGAUGGAUGGAGGUGCUGAGCUGACAGGCCAUUGGAUGGAUGAGGGUGCUGAGCUGACAGGCCAUUGGAUGGAUGGAGGGUGCUGAGCUGACAGGCCAUUGGAUGGAUGGAGGGUGCUGAGCUGACAGGCUAUUGGAUGGAUGGAGGGCGCUGAGCUGACAGGCCAUUGGAUGGAUGAGGUUGCUGAGCUGACAAGCCAUUGGAUGGAUAAGGGUGCUGAGGUGACAGGCCAUUGGAUGGAUGGAGGCGCUGAGCUGACAGGCCAUUGGAUGGAUGGAGGGUGCUGAGCUGACAGGCUAUUGGAUGGAUGGAGGUGCUGAGCUGACAGGCCAUUGGAUGGAUGGAGGGUGCUGAGCUGACAGGCCAUUGGAUGGAUGGAGGCGCUGAGCUGACAGGCCAUUGGAUGGAUGAGGGUGCUGAGCUGACAGGCCAUUGGAUGGAUGGAGGUGCUGAGCUGACUAGCCAUUGGAUGGAUGAGGGUGCUGAGCUGACAGGCCAUUGGAUGGAUGAGGGUGCUGAGCUGACAGGCCAUUGGAUGGAUGGAGGGUGCAGAGCUGACAGGCCAUUGGAUGGAUGGAGGCGCUGAGCUGACAGGCCAUUGGAUGGAUGGAGGGUGCUGAGUUGACAAGCCAUUGGAUGGAUGAGGGUGCUGAGCUGACAGGCCAUUGGAUGGAUGGAGGUGCUGAGUUGACAAGCCAUUGGAUGGAUGGAGGUGCUGAGCUGACAGGCCAUUGGAUGGAUGGAGGGUGCUGAACUGACAGGCCAUUGGAUGGAUGGAGGGUGUUGAGCUGACAGGCCAUUGGAUGGAUGGAGGGUGCUGAGCUGACAGGCCAUUGGAUGGAUGAAGGUGCUGAACUGACAGGCCAUUGGAUGGAUGGAGGCGCUGAGCUGACAGGCCAUUGGAUGGAUGGAGGGUGCUGAGCUGACAGGCCAUUGGAUGGAUGAGGGUGCUGAGCUGACAGGCCAUUGGAUGGAUUGAGGGUGCUGAGCUGACUAGCAAUUGGAUGGAUGGAGGUGCUGAGCUGACAGGCCAUUGGAUGGAUAAGGGUGCUGAACUGACAGGCCAUUGGAUGGAUGGAGGGUGCUGAGCUGACAGGCCAUUGGAUGGAUAAGGGUGCUGAACUGACAGGCCAUUGGAUGGAUGGGUUAGUAGAGUAGCCUGCUACAAUACAGUAGUCUUUAUAUAGAACUUCAAAGGGACAGCUAGUUUAAUACAGUUCAAAAGAGUCUCCUAAUAAACUACAUACUAACCAAGGAGGAACACUGGCUGUUCAUAAGAGCGUUUUUUACAGUCA